rnacentral:rRNA from 1 species
CCCUUACCUUUAGUUGCCACCAAAUCGGUUGGGCACUCUAGAGGGACUACCUGGGUUACCCAGGAGGAAGGUGGGGAUGACGUCAAAUCAUCAUGCCCCUUAUGCUCUGGGCUACACACGUGUUACAAUGGCCGGUACAAUGAGUUGCGAACCCGCGAGGGGGAGCUAGUCUCCAAAACCGGUCCCAGUUCGGAUUGUAGGCUGCCANUCGCCCACAUGAAGCUGGAGUUGCUAGUAAUCGCGGAUCAGCAUGCCGCGGUAAAU